CAAUAGCGUGUAUUUAAGUUGCUGCAGUUAAAAAGCUCGUAGUUGGAUUUCGGGUGGGAAUGGCCGGUCCGCCGUUUCGGUGUGCACUUGCUACGCCCACCUUGCUGCCGGGGACGUGCUCUUGAGUUCACGCUCGGGACACGGAGUCGGCGAGGUUACUUUGAGUAAAUUAGAGUGUUCAAAGCAGGCCUACGCUCUGAAUACAUUAGCAUGGAAUAACACGAUAGGACUCUGGCCUAUCUUGUUGGUCUGUAGGACCGGAGUAAUGAUUAAGAGGGACAGUCGGGGGCACUCGUAUUUCAUUGUCAGAGGUGAAAUUCUUGGAUUUAUGAAAGACGAACUACUGCGAAAGCAUUUGCCAAGGAUGUUUUCAUUAA
rnacentral:rRNA from 1 species